UUACGGCCAUAUCACGUUGACAUACAGGUUCCCGUACGAUAAGUGAAGUUAAGCAACGUCGAGCCUGGUCAAUAACGAAAUGGGUGAUAACUUGGGAGUACUAUGUGCUGUAA